rnacentral:rRNA from 1 species
ACUCCUACGGGAGGCAGCAGUGGGGAAUAUUGCACAAUGGGCGCAAGCCUGAUGCAGCCAUGCCGCGUGUGUGAAGAAGGCCUUCGGGUUGUAAAGCACUUUCAGUCGUGAGGAAGGUAGUGUAGUUAAUAGCUGCAUUAUUUGACGUUAGCGACAGAAGAAGCACCGGCUAACUCCGUGCCAGCAGCCGCGGUAAUACGGAGGGUGCGAGCGUUAAUCGGAAUUACUGGGCGUAAAGCGCAUGCAGGUGGUUUGUUAAGUCAGAUGUGAAAGCCCGGGGCUCAACCUCGGAAUAGCAUUUGAAACUGGCAGACUAGAGUACUGUAGAGGGGGUAGAAUUUCAGGUGUAGCGGUGAAAAUGCGUAGAGAUCUGAAGGAAUACCGGUGGCGAAGGCGGCCCCCUGGACAGAUACUGACACUCAGAUGCGAAAGCGUGGGGAGCAAACAGGAUUAGAUACCCUGGUAG